AUACGGAGGGGGCAAGCGUUGUUCGGAAUUAUUGGGCGUAAAGGGCGUGUAGGCGGCCUGAUCAAGUCGGAUGUGAAAGCCCUCGGCUCAACCGAGGAAUUGCAUUCGAUACUGGUUGGCUAGAGUUCGGGAGAGGGUAGCGGAAUUCCCAGUGUAGCGGUGAAAUGCGUAGAUAUUGGGAAGAACAUCGGUGGCGAAGGCGGCUACCUGGACCGAUACUGACGCUGAGACGCGAAAGCUAGGGGAGCGAAUGGGAUUAGAAACCCCGGUAGUCC
rnacentral:rRNA from 1 species